rnacentral:lncRNA from 1 species
UGUUGAUUAAUAUUAUUGAUUAAUUUAAAAAUUUUAAAUAUUCUACGGCAUCCAGCAUUCAUAGACCCGUCAGUUGAGCAAUGUAGAAUAUUCUACGAUAUUCGUAGAUAGAAAAUAUAUGAUUAAAUUAUAAAAAACUUUUUGAUUGAGGUUAGAUCGAAAUUACCACAUAAGUUCAAACGUACACCUACAUGUCUAACAUCUAUGAAAAAUCUACACGUUAAUCCCCUA